CGAAGCAACGCGAAGAACCUUACCUAAGCUUGACAUCCCAAUGACAUCUCCUUAAUCGGAGAGUUCCCUUCGGGGACAUUGGUGACAGGUGGUGCAUGGUUGUCGUCAGCUCGUGUCGUGAGAUGUUGGGUUAAGUCCCGCAACGAGCGCAACCCUUGUCUUUAGUUGCCAUCAUUAAGUUGGGCACUCUAGAGAGACUGCCAGGGAUAACCUGGAGGAAGGUGGGGAUGACGUUAAAUCAUCAUGCCCCUUAUGCUUAGGGCUACACACGUGCUACAAUGGGUAGUACAGAGGGUUGCCAAGCCGUAAGGUGGAGCUAAUCCCUUAAAGCUACUCUCAGUUCGGAUUGUAGGCUGAAACUCGCCUACAUGAAGCUGGAGUUACUAGUAAUCGCAGAUCAGAAUGCUGCGGUGAAUGCGUUCCCGGGUCUUGUACACACCGCCCGUCACACCACGGGAGUUGGAGACGCCCGAAGCCGAUUAUCUAACCUUUUGGAAGAAGUCGUCGAAGGUGGAAUCAAUAACUGGGGUGAAGUCGUAACAAGGUAGCCGUAUCGGAAGGUGCGGCUGGAUCACCUCCUUUCUAAGGA
rnacentral:rRNA from 1 species